rnacentral:tRNA from 1 species
UCCCUGGUGGCUCAGACGAUAAAGCAGCUGCCUGCAACGCUGGAGACCCAAGUUCGAUCCCUGGGUAGGGAA